rnacentral:rRNA from 1 species
AUGGGGGAUAGGAUCCCUAACCUGCAAGACUUGAACCUGUGUCUGGUCGGUUCUUGGAUUAAGAGAUACAUUUUUAGUGAGGGAUCCCUGUGGAGGAAAGUGAUAGAUGCUAAGUAUAAUACUAGGAGUCCAAACAUCCUUUGUUGUCAUGAUCCACACCCAUCUCAAUUCUGGAAGGGUGUGAUGUGGGCCAUGAAAGCAAUCAAAUUUGGAUAUAGGUGGAGUGUGGGUGAUGGCAGAUCAAUUCUCUUUUGGGAAGAUAUUUGGUUUGGAAACUCACCCCUAGCUACCCAAUUCUGGGGCUUGUACUGCAUAGUGAAUGAGGAAAACAAAAUGGUGGCAGACAUUUGGGAUGGUCUGUCUCUUAAAAUCUCCUUUAGGAGAAACUUUGAUGAGGAGCUUAUGUUACAAUGGCUUGACCUAGAAAAUGUUGCUAGAUCUAUUGUUUUUUCUGAUCAAAACGAUAAGCUGAUCUGGCAAUAUGAAUCUAAAGGCGUAUAUUCUUCAAAAUCUCUUUAUGCUAUUGUUAACUUUAGAGGGGUGCAACCUAUUUACCUCCCGUCUGUUUGGGGGAUUAAGAUUCCACCAAAAAUCCAGGGUUUCCUUUGGCUGUUCUCCCAGAAUAAGAUCAUGACCUGUGAUAACCUGAGAAAAAGAGGUAUUCCAAAACCUCUAGAGUGUGUCCACUGUACUGAGAUCGAGUCGGUUCAUCACUUGUUUUUGAAUGUGUGGUUGCUAGAUUAG